UUUUAAAUGGCCGCAGUAUUUUGACUGUGCAAAGGUAGCAUAAUCAUUAGUUUUUUAAUUAAAAGCUUGUAUGAAAGGCUGGACGAGGUAAAAUCUGUCUCUAUUUAAAUUAUAGUAGAAUUUAACUUUUAAGUUAAAAGGCUUAAAUAUUAUUAAAAGACGAGAAGACCCUAUAGAUCUUUAUAGUUUAUUAAAUUAAAUUAAUUUAGAAAUAUUAAUGUUUUAUUUAACUAAAUUAUUUUAUUGGGGUAAUAAAAAGAUUGAAUUAAUUCUUUUUUAUAAUAAACAUUAAUUUAUGAAUAUUAAUGAUCCAGUUUUACUGAUUAUAAGAUUAAGUUACCUUAGGGAUAACAGCGUAAUUUUUUUAGAGAGUUCAUAUCGAUAAAAAAGUUUGCGACCUCGAUGUUGGAUUAAAGAUUAUUUUAGGUGUAGAAGCUUAAUAAUUUUGGUCUGUUCGACCAUUAAAUCUUUACAUGAUCUGAGUUCAGACCGGCGUAAGCCAGGUCGGUUUCUAUCUUUAAUAAAAUAAAAUAUUUUAGUACGAAAGGACCAAAUAUUUAAUAUAUUUAUAUUUAAUUUAUUGAAUAUUA
rnacentral:rRNA from 1 species